rnacentral:rRNA from 1 species
CCUACGGGAGGCUGCAGUGAGGAAUAUUGGUCAAUGGACGCAAGCCUGAACCAGCCAUGCCGCGUGCAGGAAGACGGCCCUAUGAGUUGUAAACAGCUUUUGUACGAGGGUAAACGCUGAUACGCGUACCUGUCUGAAAGUAUCGUACGAGUAAGGAUCGGCUAACUCCGUGCCAGCAGCCGCGGUAAUACGGAGGAGUCAAGCGUUAUCCGGAUUUAUUGGGUUUAAAGGGUACGUAGGCGGUUGUUUAAGUUAGAGGUGAAAUCCCCGGGCUCAACUUCGGAAUUGCAUCUGAUACUGGUCAGCUAGAGUGUUGUAGAGGUGGGCAGAAUG